GAGGCAUUUUGCAGGACAAGCCAAGAUGCAAGAAACAAGGCUGAGGAACUGUCUGUCUGUCAAUCAAGAAGAAGGUUCCAAAUAGAAUGUUCCCAGGAGUUGGCAGUUCAGCUGGCCAGGGCAAACUGGGAAACCUCUGCUCUUUCUGGGAGUGGACUGACCAAGAAAGGAGGUGAUCAGCAGAUAGAGCCCUGAAAAUGGAAGUCAGGAAGGAAGACUCAGAUUCAAAUUCUGCCUUAGACACUUGGUACUUAGAGAGCAUACCUGCCCAAAAAGGGAGGUAGCAAAGAAGAUAGAGCCCUGGGUUCAAAUGGCUCUGGGGCUGUAUGUAUGGGUGUGUCCAUGUUAUGGUAUGUAUAUGAAUUCUAUUUGAAAGUUAAAUAGCUACAUGUGGAAGGAACAUGUUU
rnacentral:lncRNA from 1 species